CGGGUCUUAGCAUCCUCCGAUAGCGCUUGAGGUCGCAGCCACUUGGGUCUUCUCAGGGAACGUUUAUAUUGGCUGUUCACUGUUGCUGAAUCGUGACAGUAGCCCACUUUAACUCCUUCAGGCCGUAGCGCACAUGCAUUUGCAGCUCAUCUGGAUAAAUGCCUGGGCCUGUUGCAGUAUUAAUAGGUAGAAAGAGUCGCCCUUAGCCUAAGCCUAAGAUGAAUACCCACCCGCAUUAUCCAUUGCAGGGUGUUAGAAAAAUCAAGGGAUAUAUAAGUCAAUUGUAGUUUGGGCUCACAGAUACAUGGGAAUAUAACAACUGGGGGACACGAUUUACACCCCACACUUCCUUUGAAUGUGGAAGGGGAGGGAGUGUUUGUCAGAGCUGAACAGCCUCCACCCCGACCCCACCCACUUAUUCCUGGUCUGUAGUCCUUUAAGCAAAGGACACAUCCACUCUCUUGUCCUUCUGGUCCUGUCUCAAGGAUUCCUUUGCAGUUACAUUUCUUCACUAUAGAAAGCAGUGGGGGCAAACUGUUGCCUGCUUCUGUUUUACUUUGUUUUGUUUUCUUGAAGCUGGGAAUUGAACCCAGAACUCCAUACAUGCUAAGCUUGUACUCUGCCCCAAGCUACUCACAUCCCGAGCCUGGUGCAUGGUCCCUAGCCUGCCCUGCAAGUCAAGUCUCUUAGAUAACUGGUGACCCUGUUUGUCUAAAUCCCACUGCAUACCGGACAUCUAACCCGGUUCAGAGGACCGGGAUCUUCUUCAGGACUAACCAUAGGUUGGGGGUUGGGUUCUGCUCAAGACCAACUUCGUGAAAAUUAACUAACAAAUGAUCUUGUGCUACAGUUUCUCUCCACUGCAAGCCCCCCAACCCAUACAAAGUUGGCCAAUAGGCUCCCCUGUUCCAAUUCCUCUGAAGGUGGGACUUCCUUCCCCAGAGCUAGCUUAGACUCAUUCCUUAGAAGGCUGGAGUGUGAGCCUGCCUGCAGUGGGCGCUCUUUGGCUGGGUGAGCAGAGCGCCCCCCAGAGGACAGAGGUGUAAUGCAGCCAUGCUGCGCCCAGGGAACCCUCAAGUCCUGUUUCUUUCUGCCCCAGUCCUCAUUCAGACUCCCAGCCUCUGUGCAGAGGCUUCUGAGAACUCUAAGAGGAGUCAGGACUAAGGGAGGUCACUAAGGGACCCUGGAUGCAAAAUUUAAGGAAGCUCUGACUCCUACGGUCACCACACAGCUCGGGAUGUGAGUAGCUCGGGGCAGAGUACAAGCUUAGGGUGAGCCCCGAGAGUAAGAGCCUCCUUAAAUCUCAUGCCCCGGAUGUCUACUGGUCUCACUGUCAUCCCCAGCUCUGUCUUGCCCAUUUCGGCAGUUUGAGAGGUGGCCUGGUGCAAAGUAUAAGCUGCUAUUAUGUAGUAUGAUUCUCAGUUCUGCUGCAGAACAGCAAGAUAUGCUUUAGAAGUUACUAAGCCUCUUUAAGGCUUAGCUCCCCAUCAGUUAAGCUGACAUAACCAGCAUCCUGGGGUUCCUGCGAAAGGCUACCUGCUCGUAAGUCACUUAAUGCUGAGACCUGUUAUUCCUUAUCUAGUCUGUCUUAUCUGAAGACGGACACACUUGAGUCAGUUCACCCCUUACCCCAGCUCCAGCGCGUGUCCUUUAUCCUUCGGUCCAGUCCUCCCGCAGAACCCGAGUCUCUUCUAAGUGAUUGGUGACUCUGAAUGUGUUAAAAUCCCAGUGUGGCAGGUACCCGACCACGAACAGAGGAGGGCGAGCAUCUUCGGCAGUGGCAGUCACAGUUGCAGAUGUGGCUCACCACUAACCAUUUGUUCAUCCAGACUCAGAAUAAUGAGUUGGUACUGUGUUAGUUACUUUUCUGUUGUUGGGAUAAAUCCCAUGGCCAGAAGUGGCUUGUGGAGGAAAGAGUUUAUUUUGUCAAAGGUUCCAGGGGGAGAGUCCAUAAAUGGUGGGUGAUGCAUGGCAGCAGGAGGUGGGAGUUAGAAGCUGAGAGAAGGCAACCUCAACAGAAAACACAAAACAGAGAGAGGAAAGAGGAUGCGGCAAGACCGUCAACUCCUAGAAUCCGAAUCCAGUGACAUCCUUCCUCCGGCAAAGUUUCAUAAUGUCCCCAAACAGCACCACUAACUGGGGACCAAGUGUUGAAAUAGCUGAGCCUCUGGGGGACAGUGUGCACCCAAACCACCACAGUAUAAUUGCUUUUGUCCCUAAAUAUUUUGUGGAAAGUCUCAUGCUAAGCACGCUCUACUACUGAGCGGUACCUCAGCCACCUAUGAAAGAUAGAGAGCAAAAGAUAGUGGACGUUUGCACCCACCGCUCACCAUGGAGGAGAGCAAAAGAUAGUGAAACCAUUUGCACCCCCCACUCACCAUGGAUGGUCAACUCAGGGACAGUUUCCUGUCAUACAGUGACAGGGAAAACACCCUAAACUACUUGUUUGAGUCAUUCCGGGCAUUAUAUGAUUUCAUCCAUUAUAUGAUUUAUCCAUAAAUAUUUUAAUGGGACUACUGAAUAUUUUUUAAAAAUAUAAUCAUAAUACUAUACUACUUCUCAAUGUUAACAGUAAUCUGUUAAAUUCUAGUAAUAUAAACUAGUUAUUUAUCUAGAUAUUUAUUUGUUUAUUUAAUUACUUAUUUAUUUUGGUGCUUGAGGCAGGGUCUCAUCAUGUAUUCCAAGCUGGCCUUGAGUUGUGGGAUUCCAGGCAUACAUGACCAUGACUGACUGACCCAUCAUUUUAUAGUUCAUUUUUAAGGUUUAUUUAAACCCGUGCAUGCUUUGUGAGUUGUUAUUGUCUGUGUGUGGUAUGUGUUCAUGACUGUGGGCAUGCUUGUUCCACACGUGUUGGAGGUCAGAGAACAACUUCUGGUAGUCCUCUCCUUCUGAUGCUGGUUUGGGGGAUCAAACUCGGGUCAUCAGGUUCUUACGGCAAACGCUUUUACCUGAAAGAGCCAUCUGGCCCCGAUCAGUCAGUUUUCAGUUUUUUCUCCACACCACAGAAUGUAUUCAGUUGCUCUUGUGGUUGGUGGAUCACUGCCCCGUUGUUUCCCAAAAGUCUCCAUCUUCCUGCUUGCAUCUAUGCGGCAUUUUAACACGUCUCUUUGCCCCAUGUUGCCUGUAGACUGGUAUUUGGUCCUAGAGAUGCAUUCAGAUUGAGGCUUUGGAGUUUGGAGUAAAAGUAUUUCCUAGGUGCUUAGCCCUGUUAGGGGCUCCCAUGUCUCUAGGUACUGAGUUCUGGUGGGCUCCUGUGUCUAGGUACUGAGUCCUGGUGGGCUCCUGUGUCUCUAGGUACUGAGUUCUGGUGGGCUCCCGUGUCUCUAGGUACUGAGUCCUGGUGGGCUCCCGUGUCUCUAGGUACUGAGUCCUGGUGGGCUCCUGUGUCUCUAGGUACUGAGUCCUGGUGGGGCUCCUGUGUCUCUAGGUACUGAGCCCUGGUGGGCUCCUGUGUCUAGGUACUGAGUCCUGGUGGGCUCCUGUGUCUAGGUACUGAGUCCUGGUGGGCUCCUGUGUCUAGGUACUGAGUCCUGGUGGGCUCCCAUGUCUCUAGGUACUGAGUCCUGGUGGGCUCCCAUGUCUCUAGGUACUGAGUCCUGGUGGGCUCCUGUGUCUCUAGGUACUGAGUUCUGGUGGACUCUUGUGUCUCUAGGUACUGAGUCCUGGUGGGCUCCUAUGUCUCUAGGUACUGAGUCCUGGUGGGCUUCUGUGUCUCUAGGUACUGAGUCCUGGUGGGCUCCUGUGUCUAGGUACUGAGUCCUGGUGGCCUCCCAUGUCUCUAGGUACUGAGUCCUGGUGGGGUUCCCGUGUCUCUAGGUACUGAGCCCUAUUGGGGUCCAGUGUCCACUAACCUUGGAUGUUGCUGUUUGUGUGCCUGUCCCAUUGGAGCUUACCAAAUAAUGUCCCCUGUUUGCAUCUUCAUCUAUCAGCUGGCGUACCUCACCAAAGUCUCCCCUCUUGUCUGUUUGCUUUUACAAGGUAGAGUCAUAUAGAAAGAGCAGGUGCAUGGCUGCUACCUUCUCCUCCUCUGCUAGGCUUUAGCGUGGCCAUUUCUUUCUCUGAUGUCUUCCAAAGGCAGUGAGUGAUCUUCCUCUCUGUCUCUGUUGGUUUGUUUUUGAUUUUACUAUCAACAGAAACAUAUGUCUUAAACAUGCUGGAUGCAUUGCCCUACUUCACACUUGUUCUUUGUUGUAUUUCAUUUUAAAUCUAUUUAUUUGUUGUGGGUGUAAAUGCAGGUAUGGGUAUGCCGUGGAGAGGGUGUGAAGGUCAGGACAGCUUUGGGUAUUGAUCCUUGCUGUUCGCUUUAUCUGAGACAGACUGCCUGUUCUUUUUCUACUACAUACACCAGGCCAGCUGUCCUGCAAGCUUCCUGGGAGUCUCCUGUCUCCACUUCCUGUCACCCCAGUAGAGCGCUGACAUUACAGGUGCUCUCGCUAUGUGUCUGGCUUUUAUUGUGGGGACUGCAGACUCAAACUCAGGACCUCAUGCAAGCACUUUUACCACUGAGCCCUUUCCCCAGCCCUUCCCUCCCUUUGUGAGACUGGCCUGAGGACUCACUAUGAAGCCAGGGACGAACUUGAACUUCUGAUCCCCACAGCCUGCACCCUCUGAGUCCUGGGAUUACAGGUGUGUACCACCAUGUCAGGCUCUGAGGAUUUUAUUCUCACUUAUGCUCAAAUUGUCUCACUUGGGGCCAGUAGGGACCAUUUUGGUUCGUGUCGGUCUCUUAAUCCUUUGACGCCUCUCGGCAGCUUCGGCGUCUUCCUUGUUUUCAAGCACAUCUUGCUAUUUCCUGCUCUCAAGCUAGAGUUAACCAUCCUCCAAGGAACCUGGUUUCUUAUGCUGGAAAAGGGCAUUUAGGUAGAGGGUAGAUUAGGACCAGGGAGAUGGCCCCGUGGGUGCGAACAGUCCACACAAGCCUGCUAACCCACUGAAAACACAGAUGCAGUGUGACGCAUCGGCACCCUCGUCACCCCCGAGGUGCGAUGGGCAGUGGGGACAGGAGAACCAUCUGGAAGCUCAUAGCCCAGCUUAUCCUGGGCUUUACAGCGAAACAGCAAAAACAAAAGACCCCUGCCUUGACAAAGUGAAGGAGAGAAUCAGCUCCCCAAGGUUGUCCUCUGACCUCCAUAUGUACAUCAUGGCCUGUGCAAGCAUGCAUAAUACACAUGUGUAAAUAAAUAAUUAAAUAAAUAAAUAUUAAAGGGUCGAUUAAGGGGCUGGAGAGAUGGGUCAGUUGAUAAUAUUGCUUGCCAUUGGAAACCAGAGGACCUGCGUUUGGAUCCCCAGCACUGAGGUGACAAAGAAAAAGCCAGGUGCAGCAAUACACAUUUCUAAUUCCAGCUGGGGAGACAGAGACCGGAAGAUCUCCGGGGCUUCUUGGCCAGCCACUCUAGGAAAAUCGGUGAGCUCCAGGUUUAUGAGAGACAUCCCAAACACUAAAGUGCAGAGUAAUAAGAAAGACACCCAGUUAUCCACUGGCCGUCACACAUGUGUGCAUGCACACCAGCAUCUACAUACAUGAACACACCUCUACACAACACACACGUAACAUGAAUCCA